rnacentral:misc_RNA from 1 species
UACAAGUGGGCUGGGAAUUAGGAUAUGGGAAAGAAGGGAGCUUUUCUUUCCCAAAUGUUCCACCAAUGGCAGAUAUAAUAUAUGAAGUUGAGCUUAUUGGUUUUGAUGAAACCAAAGAAGGGAAAGCUCGUGGUGACAUGACUGCGGAAGAGAGGAUUGGAGCAGCAGAUCGAAGAAAAAUGGAUGGAAAUGCUUUAUUUAAAGAGGAGAAACUUGAGGAGGCCAUGCAACAAUAUGAAAUGGCCAUUGCUUAUUUGGGUGAUGACUUCAUGUUCCAAUUGUUUGGCAAAUAUCGGGACAUGGCAUUGACAGUUAAGAAUCCUUGCCACCUUAACAUGGCAGCAUGUCUGAUAAAGCUUAAACGCUAUGAAGAAGCCAUUGGGCAAUGCAGUAUUGUAUUAGGAGAGGAUGAAAACAAUGU